AACGAACGCUGGCGGCAUGCCUAACACAUGCAAGUCGAACGAAGCCUUCGGGCUUAGUGGCGCACGGGUGCGUAACGCGUGGGAAUCUGCCCUCAGGUACGGGAAUAACUCAGGGAAACUUAGAGCUAAUACCGUAUAAUGACUUCGGUCCAAAGAUUUAUCGCCUGAGGAUAAGCCCGCGUCGGAUUAGCUAGUUGGUGAGGUAAAAGACUCACCAAGGC
rnacentral:rRNA from 1 species